rnacentral:rRNA from 1 species
AACGAACGCUGGCGGCAGGCCUAACACAUGCAAGUCGAGCGAGGACUUCGGUCCUAGCGGCGGACGGGUGAGUAACGCGUGGGAACGUGCCCUUUGCUUCGGAAUAGCCCUGGGAAACUGGGAGUAAUACCGGAUGAGCCCUUUGGGGGAAAGUUUAUCGGGCAAGGAUCGGGCCGCGUUGGAUUUGGGAGGUGGUGGGGUAAUGGCCCACCAAGUCGACGAUUCCUAGCUGGUGUGAGAGGAUGAUCAGUCACACUGGGACUGAGACACGGCCCAGACUCCUACGGGAGGCAGCAGUGGGGAAUCUUAGACAAUGGGGGAAACCCUGAUCUAGCCAUGCCGCGUGAGCGAUGAAGGCCUUAGGGUUGUAAAGCUCUUUCAGCUGGGAAGAUAAUGACGGUACCAGCAGAAGAAGCCCCGGCUAACUCCGUG